rnacentral:lncRNA from 1 species
UUUCACUGUUCAAUCUCCCCCUCCUCCACCAAGAUCCCAAACAGGUGAUCAAAAUAUUUACCCAAAACCCAGGUCUCUUCCUAGAGGGGAUUUCUCUACUUCCCUGCGCCGCCAGCUCAGGCCCACUCUGAACCCAGCCUGCACUGGAGCCCUCCGGGACGUGCACAGAAUGAUCUUAUGCUCUGUGCCUUCCUACAACCAUCCCAAACUGAAUGAGAAGCAGGUCUCAAUGGACCUUCAGUGGUCAAGUUCCUGGAGGAGCUGCUCUGUCAGGUACUUUUCUUCCCACAUCACCUCCAAUGGUGGCUUCUCCUGUGGCCUCAAAGAUUCUCCUUCUCGCUGUUCUGGGACAAAACAUACAAUGAAAGGAUCACCAAGAGAAAAGGUGCUAGUCAGUUUCCAGCAUGUCCUUAUUCUUGCCUUUCAGGUUGAUGUCAACUAAACUCAGACAUUGAAAAGUCCAGCGAGUGUCCACUUUGGUGAGAAGGGUGGUAGAGAAGUUCCUUCUGUGGUGAAGUGGUUUAAGAAUCUCACUGCAGUAGCUUGGGUCACUGCAGAGGUACAAGUUUGAUCCCCAGUCUGGCACAGUGGGUUACAGGAUCCAGUGUUGCCACAGCUGCAGUGUAGGUCACAGCUGAGGCUUGGAUUUAAUCCCUGGCCCAGGAACUUCCAUAUGCUGUGGGUGGAGCCAUAAAAUAAAAUUAAAAAAAAUUAAAGUGAGUGGUGGAAA